rnacentral:rRNA from 1 species
CCCUGCCUUUUGUACACACCGCCCGUCGCACCUACCGAUUUCGAGUGGUGAGGUGAACUCUUCGGACUGCUGCGAGUGGAAAGUCGAGUGAACCUUAUCACUGAGAGGAAGGAGAAGUCGUAACAAGG